rnacentral:rRNA from 1 species
UACGAAGGUGGCUAGCGUUGUUCGGAUUUAUUGGGCGUAAAGGGUCCGCAGGCGGUUUGGAAAGUCAGGUGUGAAAUCCCACAGCUCAACUGUGGACACGCAUUUGAAACUUCCAGACUAGAGUGUGAGAGGGGUGAAUGGAAUUUCCAGUGUAGGGGUGAAAUCCGUAGAUAUUGGAAAGAACACCGGCCGCGAAGGCGAUUCACUGGCUCAUUACUGACGCUCAGGGACGAAAAGCCAGGGGAGCAAAACGGGG